UACGAAGGGUGCAAGCGUUACUCGGAAUUACUGGGCGUAAAGCGUGCGUAGGUGGUUUGUUAAGUCUGUUGUGAAAGCCCCGGGCUCAACCUGGGAAUGGCAUUUGGGACUGCAAGGCUCGAGUGCGGCAGAGGAGACUGGAAUUCCUGGUGUAGCAGUGAAAUGCGUAGAUAUCAGGAGGAACACCGAUGGCGAAGGCAGGUCUCUGGGCUGACACUGACGCUCAUGCACGAAAGCGUGGGGAGCAAACAGG
rnacentral:rRNA from 1 species